rnacentral:rRNA from 1 species
ACGAACGCUGGCGGCGUGCUUCACACCUGCAAGUCGAACGGAAAGGCCCCUUUUGGGGGUACUCGAGUGGCGAACGGGUGAGUAACACGUGAGUAACCUGCCCUUGACUUCGGGAUAACUUCAGGAAACUGGGGCUAAUACCGGAUAGGAAUCCUUGCUGCAUGGUGGGGGUUGGAAAGCUUCGGCGGUUUUGGAUGGACUCGCGGCUUAUCAGCUUGUUGGUGGGGUAGUGGCUUACCAAGGCUUUGACGGGUAGCCGGCCUGAGAGGGCGACCGGCCACAUUGGGACUGAGAUACGGCCCAGACUCCUACGGGAGGCAGCAGUGGGGAAUAUUGCACAAUGGGCGGAAGCCUGAUGCAGCAACGCCGCGUGCGGGAUGACGGCCUUCGGGUUGUAAACCGCUUUCAGCAGGGGCGAAGCUUGUGGUGACGGUACCUGCAGAAGAAGCACCGGCUAACUACGUG